CGCGGCCUAUCAGCUUGUUGGUGAGGUAACGGCUCACCAAGGCAUCGACGGGUAGCUGGUCUGAGAGGACGAUCAGCCACACUGGGACUGAGACACGGCCCAGACUCCUACGGGAGGCAGCAGUAGGGAAUCUUGCGCAAUGGGCGAAAGCCUGACGCAGCAACGCCGCGUGGGGGAUGAAUGCCUUCGGGUUGUAAACCCCUUUCAGCAGGGACGAAAAUGACGGCACCUGCAGAAGAAGCUCCGGCCAACUACGUGCCAGCAGCCGCGGUAAUACGUAGGGAGCGAGCGUUGUCCGGAAUUAUUGGGCGUAAAGAGCUCGUAGGCGGUUCAGUAAGUCGGGUGUGAAAACUCAAGGCUCAAUCUUGAGACGCCACUCGAUACUGCUGUGACUUGAGUCCGGUAGAGGAGUGUGGAAUUCCUGGUGUAGCGGUGAAAUGCGCAGAUAUCAGGAGGAACACCAGCGGCGAAGGCGGCACUCUGGGCCGGUACUGACGCUGAGGAGCGAAAGCAUGGGGAGCAAACAGGAUUAGAUACCCUGGUAGUCCAUGCCGUAAACGUUGGGCACUAGGUAUGGGAUCAUAUCAACGGAUUCCGUGCCGUAGCUAACGCAUUAAGUGCCCCGCCUGGGGAGUACGG
rnacentral:rRNA from 1 species